UACGUAGGGUCCGAGCGUUGUCCGGAAUUAUUGGGCGUAAAGAGCUUGUAGGCGGUCUGUCGCGUCUGCUGUGAAAAUCCGGGGCUCAACCCCGGACUUGCAGUGGGUACGGGCAGACUAGAGUGUGGUAGGGGAGACUGGAAUUCCUGGUGUAGCGGUGAAAUGCGCAGAUAUCAGGAGGAACACCGAUGGCGAAGGCAGGUCUCUGGGCCACUACUGACGCUGAGAAGCGAAAGCAUGGGGAGCGAACAGG
rnacentral:rRNA from 1 species